rnacentral:misc_RNA from 1 species
GAAAUGCGAUAAGUAAUGUGAAUUGCAGAAUUCAGUGAAUCAUCGAAUCUUUGAACGCAUCUUGCGCUCCUUGGUAUUCCUUGGAGCACGCCUGUUUGAGUAUCAUGAAAUCUACAAAGUAAAUCUUUUGUUAACUCAAUUGGUUUCUACUUUGGUAUUGGAGGUCUUUGCAGCUUCACACCUGCUCCUCUUUGUUCAUUAGCUGGAUCUCAGUGUUAUGCUUGGUUCCACUCGGCGUGAUAAGUUAUCUAUCGCUGAGGACACUGUAAAAGGUGGCCAAGGUAAAUGCAGAUGAACCGCUUCUAAUAGUCCAUUGACUUGGACAAUACUUUUAUGAUCUGAUCUCAAAUCAGGUAGGACUACCCGCUGAACUUAAGC